GCCUGCGCGGAAGAUGUAACGGGGCUAAACCAUGCACCGAAGCUGCGGCAGCGACACUAUGUGUUGUUGGGUAGGGGAGCGUUCUGUAAGCCUGCGAAGGUGACCUGUGAGGGUUGCUGGAGGUAUCAGAAGUGCGAAUGCUGACAUAAGUAACGAUAAAGCGGGUGAAAAGCCCGCUCGCCGGAAGACCAAGGGUUCCUGUCCAACGUUAAUCGGGGCAGGGUGAGUCGACCCCUAAGGCGAGGCCGAAAGGCGUAGUCGAUGGGAAACAGGUUAAUAUUCCUGUACUUGGUGUUACUGCGAAGGGGGGACGGAGAAGGCUAUGUUAGCCGGGCGACGGUUGUCCCGGUUUAAGCAUGUAGGCUGGUUAUCCAGGCAAAUCCGGAUAAUCAAGGCUGAGGUGUGAUGACGAGGCACUACGGUGCUGAAGUAACAAAUGCCCUGCUUCCAGGAAAAGCCUCUAAGCAUCAGGUAACAUCAAAUCGUACCCCAAACCGACACAGGUGGUCAGGUAGAGAAUACCAAGGCGCUUGA
rnacentral:rRNA from 1 species